AUGAGAAAGUCCAGUCAAAGGCACCCUUGCAGGAGGCGCUGCUUUCUGUCACGGGAUGGUUCAGAGUUGGGGAGGGAGGCCGCAGUUGAACAGCAAACCCUUACUCUGUUUGCUAUUCUCUGGGCCUGGGGCCCGGAACCCAGGGCGAGGGUGAGAAGUUGGGGAGAGGGCGCGCUCCCAGUGCGUGGCUGGGUCGCGCUGCCAGCUGCCUGGUGGCGGCAGGGUGAACCCGGCUACGCGCGCCGGGUGACCAAAGCUCCGCCCCCAGCUCUCGUCUCUCGGUGAUUGACGCGCAGCCGCGGGGAAACAGCAGAGCAGAGAUUGAGCCCAGGACCCCUAGACUCUCAAUGGUGGUCUACACUGUCUGCAGCGCACCGAGGGACUAUGCUCCGAGUUCAGCUGCUCAUAUCUUGUACUAGACAAAAAUGAAUAUUGACAAAAAGGGCUCUGCAUCUGCACGAGAAAGAAAGUACCACUUAACAACAACAACAACAACAACAACAACAACAACAAAAAUCCUAGCCUGGCGGUGGUGCAGUUGGCGGAGCUUGCUGCUCUAGGUUGUAGUGGCAGAGUUCGGGACCUAGUAAUCCGCCGGCAGAGGAAGGGGGCCGCGGAAUUAAAACGAACAAAAGCUAGAGCGCCAUGCCAAACAUCCCCAACGCGACCCAGUUAGGCAGGAGCCAAGAGGAGUGGUGGGGAAAUAAACGAGAAGUAAGUUGAAAAU
ensembl:lincRNA 2700033N17Rik RIKEN cDNA 2700033N17 gene